rnacentral:rRNA from 1 species
UUAAUUGAAAGCUGGAAUGAAGGGUAGAUAUUUUAAGGGUUAGUUUUGUUUCAUAAUUUUGAAGUUAAGUUAAGAGUAAAAAUGCUCUUAUUCAUCCUUGGGACGAGAAGACCCUAAAAGCUUAAAAUUAGAAAUUUUUAGUUGGGGCAAUUAAUGAAGAUAUAAUUUUUAUUGAGAAGUUUAUAAUGUAAUUAAAGUUACUUUAGGGAUAACAGCAUAAUUUAGUUUGGGAGUUCUUAUUUAUAAUUAGGAUUAUGACCUCGAUGUUGAAUUAAAA